UGGGGAAUAUUGCGCAAUGGGGGAAACCCUGACGCAGCGACGCCGCGUGAGCGAAGAAGGCCUUAGGGUCGUAAAGCUCUGUUUUAAGGGACGAAUGUCGUGGGGAGUAAUAUGCUCUGCGAAUGACGGUACCUUAAGAGGAAGCCCCGGCUAACUACGUGCCAGCAGCCGCGGUGAGACGCAGGGGGCGAGCGUUGUCCGGAAUUACUGGGCGUAAAGAGCACGUAGGCGGGAACUUAAGUCAGGUGUGAAAGACCGGGGCUCAACUCCGGGGUUGCACUUGAAACUGGGUUUCAUGAGGGCAGGAGAGGAAAGCAGAAUUCCUGGUGUAGCGGUGAAAUGCGUAGAAAUCAGGAGGAAUACCAGUGGCGAAGGCGGCUUUCUGGACUGUCCCUGACGCUGAGGUGCGAAAGCGUGGGU
rnacentral:rRNA from 1 species